rnacentral:lncRNA from 1 species
AUGAGAGCCUGCACUGUCUCACAUGGUCUUCCCCAGGAGCAAUGGAGCUGUACACAUACUGUGCCUUUGCAUAUCUCUGUGCUACCAGUCAAAAUAAAUGGUGACAUGCCACGAGAUGGCACAGAUGGUUUGAGUCAGCCAACUGAUGAGAUGAAGGCAACCCAGACCUCAGCUCAGGUUUUGCUGGGGUCUGGGGACGUGGAUUUAGCCUCUUCACCACUCAGCUAUUUCUUCCCUGAUUUAAUUGAGGUGCAACCACUUAAUAACCUCCGCUAAUGGGGAGGGACCUUCUCUUUAUAAAUACAGACUUGGGAGGCUUGGGCUCUGACAAAGCCUACUUAGCAACUCCAAGUAAUGACGAUCUAUUUUAACAGUGACCAUUAUUAUUAAUAAAAUCAACCAGCCAGGACUCUGUCA